rnacentral:sRNA from 1 species
UGCAGCCGAGUCACUACUGUCUGCCUGCCUGCUACGAUGUGCCCUGGAGAGCCCCCCCAUCUCUCAGGGGCCACCUCCCACAGUUCCUCCACCACCACGUGUGGUGGACAAGCUCUCCCUGUGUGUGGCUCCGGGGAAGGCCUGCAGCCCUGCAGCCAGCGAGAUCACAGGUCUGAGCACAGCUGUGCUGGCAGCGCAUGGGCGUCAAUGUUUCGAUGACAACUUGGCCAACCUGCUCCUAGCCUUCCUGCGGCGCCAGCCACAGCCCUGGUGCCUGGUGGCACACAAUGGUGACCGCUACGACUUCCCCCUGCUCCAAGCAGAGCUGGCUCUGCUGGGCCUCACCAGUGCUCUGGAUGGUGCCUUCUGUGUGGAUAGCAUCACUGCACUGAAGGCCCUGGAGCGAGCAAGCAGCCCCUCAGAACACGGCCCAAGGAAGAGCUACAGCCUAGGCAGCAUCUACACACGCCUGUAUGGGCAGUCCCCUCCAGACUCGCACACGGCUGAGGGUGACGUCCUGGCCCUGCUCAGCAUCUGUCAGUGGAGACCACAGGCCCUGCUGCGGUGGGUGGAUGCUCACGCCAGGCCCUUCGGCACCAUCAGACCCAUGUAUGGGGUCACAGCCUCUGCUAGGACCAAGCCAAGACCAUCUGCUGUCACAACCACUGCACACCUGGCCACAACCAGGAACA